rnacentral:rRNA from 1 species
UACGGAGAAGGCUAUGUUGGCCGGGCGACGGUUGUCCCGGUUUAAGCGUGUAGGCUGGUUUUCCAGGCAAAUCCGGAAAAUCAAGGCUGAGGCGUGAUGACGAGGCACUACGGUGCUGAAGCAACAAAUGCCCUGCUUCCAGGAAAAGCCUCUAAGCAUCAGGUAACAUCAAAUCGUACCCCAAACCGACACAGGUGGUCAGGUAGAGAAUACCAAGGCGCUUGAGAGAACUCGGGUGAAGGAACUAGGCAAAAUGGUGCCGUAACUUCGGGAGAAGGCACGCUGAUAUGUAGGUGAGGUCCCUCGCGGAUGGAGCUGAAAUCAGUCGAAGAUACCAGCUGGCUGCAACUGUUUAUUAAAAACACAGCACUGUGCAAACACGAAAGUGGACGUAUACGGUGUGACGCCUGCCCGGUGCCGGAAGGUUAAUUGAUGGGGUUAGCGCAAGCGAAGCUCUUGAUCGAAGCCCCGGUAAACGGCGGCCGUAACUAUAACGGUCCUAAGGUAGCGAAAUUCCUUGUCGGGUAAGUUCCGACCUGCACGAAUGGCGUAAUGAUGGCCAGGCUGUCUCCACCCGAGACUCAGUGAAAUUGAACUCGCUGUGAAGAUGCAGUGUACCCGCGGCAAGACGGAAAGACCCCGUGAACCUUUACUAUAGCUUGACACUGAACAUUGAGCCUUGAUGUGUAGGAUAGGUGGGAGGCUUUGAAGUGUGGACGCCAGUCUGCAUGGAGCCGACCUUGAAAUACCACCCUUUAAUGUUUGAUGUUCUAACGUUGACCCGUAAUCCGGGUUGCGGACAGUGUCUGGUGGGUAGUUUGACUGGGGCGGUCUCCUCCUAAAGAGUAACGGAGGAGCACGAAGGUUGGCUAAUCCUGGUCGGACAUCAGGAGGUUAGUGCAAUGGCAUAAGCCAGCUUGACUGCGAGCGUGACGGCGCGAGCAGGUGCGAAAGCAGGUCAUAGUGAUCCGGUGGUCCUGAAUGGAAGGGCCAUCGCUCAACGGAUAAAAGGUACUCCGGGGAUAACAGGCUGAUACCGCCCAAGAGUUCAUAUCGACGGCGGUGUUUGGCACCUCGAUGUCGGCUCAUCACAUCCUGGGGCUGAAGUAGGUCCCAAGGGUAUGGCUGUUCGCCAUUUAAAGUGGUACGCGAGCUGGGUUUAGAACGUCGUGAGACAGUUCGGUCCCUAUCUGCCGUGGGCGCUGGAGAACUGAGGGGGGCUGCUCCUAGUACGAGAGGACCGGAGUGGACGCAUCACUGGUGUUCGGGUUGUCAUGCCAAUGGCACUGCCCGGUAGCUAAAUGCGGAAGAGAUAAGUGCUGAAAGCAUCUAAGCACGAAACUUGCCCCGAGAUGAGUUCUCCCUGACCCUUUAAGGGUCCUGAAGGAACGUUGAAGACGACGACGUUGAUAGGCCGGGUGUGUAAGCGCAGCGAUGCGUUGAGCUAACCGGUACUAAUGAACCGUGAGGCUUAACCUU